UACGUAGGGGGCAAGCGUUAUCCGGAUUUACUGGGUGUAAAGGGAGCGUAGGCGGUGCAGCAAGUCAGAAGUGAAAGCCCGGGGCUCAACUCCGGGACUGCUUUUGAAACUGUUGAACUAGAUUGCAGGAGAGGUAAGUGGAAUUCCUAGUGUAGCGGUGAAAUGCGUAGAUAUUAGGAGGAACACCAGUGGCGGAGGCGGCUUACUGGACUGUAAAUGACGCUGAGGCUCGAAAGCGUGGGGAGCAAACAGG
rnacentral:rRNA from 1 species